rnacentral:rRNA from 1 species
AUUGAACGCUGGCGGCAGGCUUAACACAUGCAAGUCGAGCGGGGGAAGGUAGCUUGCUACCGGACCUAGCGGCGGACGGGUGAGUAAUGCUUAGGAAUCUGCCUAUUAGUGGGGGACAACAUCUCGAAAGGGAUGCUAAUACACCAUACGUCCUACGGGAGAAAGCAGGGGAUCUUCGGCCCUUGCGCUAAUAGAUGAGCCUAAGUAGGAUUAGCUAGUUGGUGGGGUAAAGGCCUACCAAGGGGACGAUCUGUAGAGGGUCUGAGAGGAUGAUCCGCCACACUGGGACUGAGACACGGCCCAGACUCCUACGGGAGGCAGCAGUGGGGAAUAUUGGGCAAUGGGGGGAACCCUGACCCAGCCAUGCCGCGUGUGUGAAGAAGGCCUUAUGGUUGUAAAGCACUUUAAGCGAGGAGGAGGCUACUUUAGUUAAUACCUAGAGAUAGUGGACGUUACUCGCAGAAUAAGCACCGGCUAACUCUGUGCCAGCCGCCGCGGUAA